AACAGAUUUGUUUCAGACGUGCUGCACCAGGUUGUAGACCCUACCCGACUUUUUCAGGAAGAGAUUUUGAUUAUCACUGAUCAGGAAUUGCAUGAAGAGGAAAGCAAAGAAACAUGACUUAGUCACUGCUUUUCUACCAGAAAGGAUAUCAUUCUUGAGAAGCCUCUGAUAUUAGGAGAUGGAACUCUAAGUCAUGUAUCCCAGGAUUCUAAAGUUUUCACUCUGAUUUCUGCUGUUGGAUGAAUUAACAGCACAAUCUUGGUGAGUUCAGCCAUGGAAGAACAACAUACAUUUCCAGUCUAUGUGGUCCACCAACAACUUUUUUGAGAAAUCAUCCCUUUGGAUUUUCUCCCUGUAAGUGGCCUUCCUGCACGUGCUGCCGCUCCACUGUCAGCCACAGUCAUGGCAGAGCCAUUGGCAUUUUCUGAA